UCGAGCACAGCAAAACAGGAACCAGCCGUGACCAAAACUCAGACCGGACCACAGACGAUCGAAACACGAGAACCGCGAUGCAACCUCGGCUGAAAAUAAAUCAAGAGGCCACAACAGAGUGAGAUGUGAGAGUGGCUUCACAGAGACGGUUCAGACAUCACUUGGAGGAUCACCUUGCUGAGUUCUGCUGUAGACUGAAUUGCCCACCAUGAACUCAGUCAUUCAUGGACCCUGAUCUCCGACGAAAGCAGGGUUCAGCAUCGCUCCCCUCUUCGGUGGUCCUCUGCGCACCGUGUCAUGAAGUCCUCCAGCUGGACUGUGUCCUCCCUCUGGCGCCCCCAGGACAGCUUCCUUGGGGUAGAAGUGACGAAGCCGGUGGAUGCCGAGUUGCCCAUGACAGGAAAUGUGCUUCAAAUCUGUGAAUCAAAAAAUGGAAAAAAUGAACCUAUUAAAUAAAAUGCAAUUACAUUUCUAAUUACACAUACACUUUAGAUUUAACACAGAUGGCUUCUUACCUGGUCAG